rnacentral:rRNA from 1 species
CCCUUAGAGUUUGAUCCUGGCUCAGGAUGAACGCUAGCGGCAGGCCUAAUACAUGCAAGUCGAACGGUAAAUAGUUCAGCAAUGGACUAUGAGAGUGACGCACGGGUGCGUAACACGUAUGCAACCUACCCUUUACAGGAGUAUAGCUCGGGGAAACUCGAAUUAACCCUUCAUAGUAUAAUUGAAUGGCAUCAUUUGGUUAUUAAAUCUGCGGAGGUAAAGGAUGGGCAUGCGUCUGAUUAGCUAGUUGGUAGUGUAACGGACUACCAAGGCGAUGAUCAGUAGGGGAACUGAGAGGUUGAUCCCCCACACUGGCACUGAGAUACGGGCCAGACUCCUACGGGAGGCAGCAGUAGGGAAUAUUGGUCAAUGGGUGAGAGCCUGAACCAGCCAUGCCGCGUGCAGGAAGACGGCCUUCUGGGUUGUAAACUGCUUUUGUCAGGGGAUAAAAUUUCCUUGCGAGGAAAAUUGAAGGUACCUGACGAAUAAGCCACGGCUAACUACGUGCCAGCAGCCGCGGUAAUACGUAGGUGGCGAGCGUUGUCCGGAUUUAUUGGGUUUAAAGGGUGCGUAGGCGGCCUAUUAAGUCAGUGCUGAAAUAUUCCGGCUUAACCGGGAGGGUGGCAUUGAUACUGAUGGGCUAGAGUACAGAUGAGGUAGGCGGAAUUGACGGUGUAGCGGUGAAAUGCUUAGAUAUCGUCAAGAACACCUAUAGCGAAGGCAGCUUACUAGGCUGAAACUGACGCUGAGCAC